CUCACCAUCUCUGUCUUCUUUGAUGGCGACACCGCACAGAUCCGCUUAGAAGGACCUGCUGGUUCAUCUGUGGGGGUCUGUGUGGAAACUCCAGCAGGUCUCUGAGUGACCUGAGGCUCUCUGAGUACAGCUCCACCAGCUGUGAGAUGCAGUACAGUGAGCCUGCUGACAGCACGAUCAACUGCACCAGUGACUGAACGCUGUAAUCUCCUGAAGGAGGCGCCCUUCUCCUCCUGUAACAGUGACAU